rnacentral:rRNA from 1 species
AGUGGGGAAUAUUGGACAAUGGGCGAAAGCCUGAUCCAGCCAUGCCGCGUGAGUGAUGAAGGCCCUAGGGUUGUAAAGCUCUUUCAACGGUGAAGAUAAUGACGGUAACCGUAGAAGAAGCCCCGGCUAACUUCGUGCCAGCAGCCGCGGUAAUACGAAGGGGGCUAGCGUUGUUCGGAAUUACUGGGCGUAAAGCGCACGUAGGCGGACUAUUAAGUCAGGGGUGAAAUCCCGGGGCUCAACCCCGGAACUGCCUUUGAUACUGGUAGUCUUGAGUUCGAGAGAGGUGAGUGGAAUUCCGAGUGUAGAGGUGAAAUUCGUAGAUAUUCGGAGGAACACCAGUGGCGAAGGCGGCUCACUGGCUCGAUACUGACGCUGAGGUGCGAAAGUGUGGGGAGCAAA